rnacentral:rRNA from 1 species
CGAAAGCCUGACGGAGCAAUACCGCGUGAGGGAGGAAGGCUCUUGGGUUGUAAACCUCUUUUCUCAGGGAAGAAAAAAAUGACGGUACCUGAGGAAUAAGCAUCGGCUAACUCCGUGCCAGCAGCCGCGGUAAUACGGAGGAUGCAAGCGUUAUCCGGAAUGAUUGGGCGUAAAGGGUCCGCAGGUGGCAUUGUAUGUCUGCUGUUAAAGAGUUUGGCUCAACCAAAUAAGAGCAGUGGAAACUACAAAGCUAGAGUCUGGUCGGGGCAGAGGGAAUUCCUGGUGUAGCGGUGAAAUGCGUAGAUAUCAGGAAGAACACCGGUGGCGAAGGCGCUCUGCUAGGCCAAAACUGACACUGAGGGACGAAAGCUAGGGGAGCGAAUGGGAUUAGAUACCCCAGUAGUCCUAGCCGUAAACGAUGGAUACUAGGCGUAGCUCGUAUCGACCCGAGCUGUGCCGUAGCUAACGCGUUAAGUAUCCCGCCUGGGGAGUACGCAGGCAACUGUGAAACUCAAAGGAAUUGACGGGGGCCCGCACAAGCGGUGGAGUAUGUGGUUUAAUUCGAUGCAACGCGAAGAACCUUACCAAGACUUGACAUGUCACGGAUUCUGUUGAAAGAUGGAAGUGCCUUAGGGAGCGUGAACACAGGUGGUGCAUGGCUGUCGUCAGCUCGUGUCGUGAGAUGUUGGGUUAAGUCCCGCAACGAGCGCAACCCUCGUUUUUAGUUGCCAGCAUUAAGUUGGGCACUCUAGAGAGACUGCCGGUGACAAACCGGAGGAAGGUGGGGAUGACGUCAAGUCAGCAUGCCCCUUACGUCUUGGGCUACACACGUACUACAAUGCUCCGGACAAAGGGCAGCUACACAGCGAUGUGAUGCGAAUCUCAUAAACCGGAGCUCAGUUCAGAUCGAAGGCUGCAACUCGCCUUCGUGAAGGAGGAAUCGCUAGUAAUUGCAGGUCAGCAUACUGCAGUGAAUUCGUUCCCGGGCCUUGUACACACCGCCCGUCACACCAUGGAAGUUGGUCACGCCCGAAGUCGUUACCCCAACCGUUUGGAGGGGGAUGCCUAAGGUAGGACUGAUGACUGGGGUGAAGUCGUAACAAGGUAGCCGUACCGGAAGGUGUGGCUGGAUCACCUCCUUUUAGGGAGACC